rnacentral:tRNA from 1 species
GAGGGUAUAGCUCAGUGGUAGAGUGUGUACUUAGCAUGCAUGAAGUCCUGGGUUCAAUGCCCAGUGCCUUCA